UAGCCGUGGCUAGUAAAGUAACCACACGUGGCACAGUAACCUUUCUAAAAAGCAUGGUGAUGGGAUGAAAAGAGUUGCUGUUGCCAGAUACCUAUUGAGAGGCUCAGAAACAGGUCAUCUGGAGCCCAAGGGGCGGAGGCGAGCCCCUGUCUUGAAAGGGGCAGCAGAUGGUAGCCUUCGCCACCCCCUGACAGAAUAACGGCUGGAGGAAGCGGUGGGGCUCCAUCUGGGAGAGAGCCUGUCUUCCGUGGCCAAGGAGUCAAUGUGUUUGCAAUUUUGACUCUUUCUUCUGCUCUAGCAGAAGGGCAGCUUGUAGAAGGCUGGAAAAUUCCAACCAGGAAGAACCACACCUUUUCAUGUUACUUCAGAGCAGAUAGAGCGACUCUGAGACCCCAAAGGCAAAAGAUAGCAGGGCAGAGCGGUGAACCUAUGCUAAGAAGAAGAAGAAGAAAAAAAAAAACAACCCAAAUUAUUAGGAGAAAUGAAGAGGUGGAUUCUGUUUGUGACUGGCUGCUCCCAGGUAGACAAGAGUUUUCCUGGUAAAGCAAAAGAAAGGGGGCUUCUUACAAAACGGUGGAGAUCAAACUGAAAAAUUGAAGACCUCUCUUGUAAACAUCAGUGGCUGAAGUAAAGCUUCGGUGAAACAGUAAUAAUGUGAUUACCCAUUUAUGAAUGAAUAAUAAACAAUGUGAUCUCGCUGAA